AUUGAACGCUGGCGGCAGGCUUAACACAUGCAAGUCGAGCGAGCGGCGGACGGGUGAGUUAUGUCUGGGACACUGCCUGAUGGAGGGGGAUCACUACUGGAAACGGUAGCUAAUACCGCAUACCCUCAGAUGUGCCCAGAUGGGAUGAGCUCGUAGGUGGGGUAAUGGCUCACCUAGGCGACGACCCCUAGAUGGUCUGAGAGGAUGACCAGCCACACUGGAACUGAGACACGGUCCAGACUCCUACGGGAGGCAGCAGUGGGGAAUAUGGCACAAUGGGCGCAAGCCUGAUGCAGCCAUGCCGCGUGUGUGAAGAAGGCCUUCGGGUUGUAAAGCACUUUCAGCGAGGAGGCGUUACUCGCAGAAGAAGCACCGGCUAACUCCGUGACAGCAGCCGCGGUAAUUC
rnacentral:rRNA from 1 species